GAAAGGGUUGCAAUAAACUGGUGGCUGCGACUGUUUAAUAAAAACACAGCACUCUGCAAACACGAAAGUGGACGUAUAGGGUGUGACGCCUGCCCGGUGCUGGAAGAUUAAAUGAUGGGGUGCAAGCUCUUGAUUGAAGUCCCAGUAAACGGCGGCCGUAACUAUAACGGUCCUAAGGUAGCGAAAUUCCUUGUCGGGUAAGUUCCGACCUGCACGAAUGGCGUAACGAUGGCCACACUGUCUCCUCCCGAGACUCAGCGAAGUUGAAGUGUUUGUGAUGAUGCAAUCUACCCGCGGCUAGACGGAAAGACCCCAUGAACCUUUACUGUAGCUUUGCAUUGGACUUUGAAUCAAUCUGUGUAGGAUAGGUGGGAGGCUUUGAAGCGGGGACGCCAGUUCUCGUGGAGCCAACCUUGAAAUACCACCCUGGUUCAUUUGAGGUUCUAACCUUGGUCCGUUAUCCGGAUCGGGGACAGUGCAUGGUAGGCAGUUUGACUGGGGCGGUCUCCUCCUAAAGUGUAACGGAGGAGUUCGAAGGUACGCUAGGUACGGUCGGACAUCGUGCUAAUAGUGCAAUGGCAUAAGCGUGCUUAACUGCGAGACCGACAAGUCGAGCAGGUACGAAAGUAGGACAUAGUGAUCCGGUGGUUCUGUAUGGAAGGGCCAUCGCUCAACGGAUAAAAGGUACUCUGGGGAUAACAGGCUGAUUCCUCCCAAGAGUUCAUAUCGACGGGGGAGUUUGGCACCUCGAUGUCGGCUCAUCACAUCCUGGGGCUGUAGCCGGUCCCAAGGGUAUGGCUGUUCGCCAUUUAAAGUGGUACGUGAGCUGGGUUUAAAACGUCGUGAGACAGUUUGGUCCCUAUCUGCCGUGGGCGUUGGAAAUUUGAAGGGGGCUGCUCCUAGUACGAGAGGACCGGAGUGGACGAACCUCUGGUGUACCGGUUGUCACGCCAGUGGCAUUGCCGGGUAGCUAAGUUCGGAAGAGAUAACCGCUGAAAGCAUCUAAGCGGGAAACUUGCCUUGAGAUGAGAUUUCCCAGAGCCUUGAGCUCUUUGAAGGGUCGUUCGAGACCAGGACGUUGAUAGGUCAGGUGUGGAAGUGCAGUAAUGCAUUAAGCUAACUGAUACUAAUUGCCCGUAAGGCUUGUCCC
rnacentral:rRNA from 1 species